rnacentral:rRNA from 1 species
AUACGGAGGAUCCGAGCGUUAUCCGGAUUUAUUGGGUUUAAAGGGUGCGCAGGCGGCCAUUUAAGUCAGCGGUUAAAUCGUGGGGCUCAACCCCAUUCUGCCGUUGAUACUGGGUGGCUUGAUUGCGGUCGAGGUUGGCGGAAUUCGUUGUGUAGCGGUGAAAUGCAUAGAUAUGACGAAGAGCACCGAUUGCGUAGGCAGCUGACCAGACCGCAAAUGACGCUCAUGCACGAAAGUGCGGGGAUCGAACAGGAUUAGAUACCCUGGUAGUCCGCACAGUAAACGAUGAAUACUUGUUUUCGGCGAUAUAACGUCGGAGGCAAAGCGAAAGCGAUAAGUAUUCCACCUGGGGAGUACGCCGGCAACGGUGAAACUCAAAGGAAUUGACGGG